rnacentral:rRNA from 1 species
GAUGAACGCUGGCGGCGUGCCUAAUACAUGCAAGUCGAGCGAACGGACGAGAAGCUUGCUUCUCUGAUGUUAGCGGCGGACGGGUGAGUAACACGUGGAUAACCUACCUAUAAGACUGGGAUAACUUCGGGAAACCUGAGCUAAUACCGGAUAAUAUUUUGAACCGCAUGGUUCAAAAGUGAAAGACGGUCUUGCUGUCACUUAUAGAUGGAUCCGCGCUGCAUUAGCUAGUUGGUAAGGUAACGGCUUACCAAGGCAACGAUGCAUAGCCGACCUGAGAGGGUGAUCGGCCACACUGGAACUGAGACACGGUCCAGACUCCUACGGGAGGCAGCAGUAGGGAAUCUUACGCAAUGGGCGAAAGCCUGACGGAGCAACGCCGCGUGAGUGAUGAAGGUCUUCGGAUCGUAAAACUCUGUUAUUAGGGAAGAACAGAUGUGUAAGUAAAUGUGCACAUCUUGACGGUACCAAAUCAGAAAGCAACGGCUAACUACGUG